CGSWAKGCGGCAGCUAUACAUGCAGUCGACGGGAUCCAUUUUAAGCUUGCUUAGAGUGGUGAGAGUGGCGCACGGGUGCGUAACGCGUGAGCAACCUACCCAUAUCAGGGGGAUAGCCCGAAGAAAUUCGGAUUAACACCGCAUAACAAUAUAGUAUCGCAUGAUACGUUAUUUAAAUAUUUAUAGGAUAUGGAUGGGCUCGCGUGACAUUAGCUAGUUGGUAAGGUAACGGCUUACCAAGGCUACGAUGUCUAGGGGCUCUGAGAGGAGAAUCCCCCACACUGGUACUGAGACACGGACCAGACUCCUACGGGAGGCAGCAGUAAGGAAUAUUGGUCAAUGGAGGGAACUCUGAACCAGCCAUGCCGCGUGCAGGAUGACUGCCCUAUGGGUUGUAAACUGCUUUUGUCCAGGAAUAACCCUAUCUACGUGUAGAUAGCUGAAUGUACUGGAAGAAUAAGGAUCGGCUAACUCCGUGCCAGCAGCCGCGGUAAUACGGAGGAUCCGAGCGUUAUCCGGAUUUAUUGGGUUUAAAGGGUGCGUAGGCGGCUUUAUAAGUCAGUGGUGAAAGACGGCAGCUCAACUGUCGCAGUGCCUUUGAUACUGUAGAGCUUGAAUGUGAUUGAAGAUGGCGGAAUGAGACAAGUAGCGGUGAAAUGCAUAGAUAUGUCUCAGAACUCCGAUUGCGAAGGCAGCUGUCUAAGUCAUUAUUGACGCUGAUGCACGAAAGCGUGGGGAUCGAACAGGAUUAGAUACCCUGGUAGUCCACGCCCUAAACGAUGAUAACUCGAUGUUAGCGAUAUACAGUUAGCGUCUUAGCGAAAGCGUUAAGUUAUCCACCUGGGGAGUACGCCCGCAAGGGUGAAACUCAAAGGAAUUGACGGGGGCCCGCACAAGCGGAGGAGCAUGUGGUUUAAUUCGAUGAUACGCGAGGAACCUUACCCGGGCUUGAAAGUUAGUGAAUGAGACAGAGACGUCUCAGUCCUUCGGGACACGAAACUAGGUGCUGCAUGGCUGUCGUCAGCUCGUGCCGUGAGGUGUUGGGUUAAGUCCCGCAACGAGCGCAACCCCUAUGUUUAGUUGCCAGCAUGUUAAGGUGGGGACUCUAAACAGACUGCCUG
rnacentral:rRNA from 1 species